rnacentral:rRNA from 1 species
UACGUAGGGUCCGAGCGUUGUCCGGAGUUACUGGGCGUAAAGCGCGCGCAGGCGGCGGGAUAAGCAUGGCGUGAAAGCCCCAGGCUUAACCUGGGGGGGUCGUCGUGGACUGUACCGCUUGAGGGCGGUAGGGGCUGGUGGAAUGCCUGGUGUAGUGGUGAAAUGCGUAGAGAUCAGGCGGAACACCUAUAGCGAAGGCAGCUUACUAGGCUAUAACUGACGCUGAGGCACGAAAGUGUGGGGAUCAAACAGG